rnacentral:rRNA from 1 species
CUAACACAUGCAAGUCGAGCGGUAACAGAAAGUAGCUUGCUACUUUGCUGACGAGCGGCGGACGGGUGAGUAAUGCUUGGGAACAUGCCUUGAGGUGGGGGACAACAGUUGGAAACGACUGCUAAUACCGCAUAAUGUCUACGGACCAAAGGGGGCUUCGGCUCUCGCCUUUAGAUUGGCCCAAGUGGGAUUAGCUAGUUGGUGAGGUAAUGGCUCACCAAGGCGACGAUCCCUAGCUGGUUUGAGAGGAUGAUCAGCCACACUGGGACUGAGACACGGCCCAGACUCCUACGGGAGGCAGCAGUGGGGAAUAUUGCACAAUGGGCGCAAGCCUGAUGCAGCCAUGCCGCGUGUGUGAAGAAGGCCUUCGGGUUGUAAAGCACUUUCAGUCAGGAGGAAAGGUUAGUAGUUAAUACCUGCUAGCUGUGACGUUACUGACAGAAGAAGCACCGGCUAACUCCGUGCCAGCAGCCGCGGUAAUACGGAGGGUGCGAGCGUUAAUCGGAAUUACUGGGCGUAAAGCGUACGCAGGCGGUUUGUUAAGCGAGAUGUGAAAGCCCCGGGCUCAACCUGGGAACUGCAUUUCGAACUGGCAAACUAGAGUGUGAUAGAGGGUGGUAGAAUU